UAUUAGAUCAAAACCAAUCGGCGUCAGUAGCAUUUCGGUGUUAUUGUUCGUCGCACUUUUUGGUGACUCUGAAUAACUUUUGGCUGAUCGCACGGUCUUGCACCGGCGACSSAUCUUUCAAAUGUCUGCCUUAUCAACUGUCGAUGGUAGGUUCUGCGCCUACCAUGGUUGUAACGGGUAACGGGGAAUCAGGGUUCGAUUCCGGAGAGGGAGCCUGAGAAACGGCUACCACAUCCAAGGAAGGCAGCAGGCGCGCAAAUUACCCACUCCCGGCACGGGGAGGUAGUGACGAAAAAUAACGAUACGGGACUCAUCCGAGGCCCCGUAAUCGGAAUGAGUACACUUUAAAUCCUAUAACAAGGACCAAUUAGAGGGCAAGUCUGGUGCCAGCCGCCGCGGUAACUCCAGCUCUAAUAGCGUAUAUUAAAGUUGUUGCGGUUAAAAAGCUCGUAGUUGAAUCUGUGUUUCGCGCUGUCGGUUCACCGCCCGCGGUGUUUAACUGGCACGUCCGCGAAACGUCCUGCCGGUGGAUGCGUGUCCUUUGUUUACUUCCCCAUUAUGCGUGUGCUACUUGUAGUUACUGUAUAGUGUGGUGGGGUUACAAAUGUGUCACCAUCCGACUCAAUAAUCCUGUCGCGGUGCUCUUAAUUGA
rnacentral:rRNA from 1 species